UUGACUUUCUGCCCCGACGGCGUGUCUUUGUUUGUGCCAUCGGGUGAGAAAGACACAAU
ensembl:miRNA